rnacentral:rRNA from 1 species
AUGGACAUUUACAAGAGCGAGGAGAUGUUUUGGCAGCACCGAGGGGGCCAGAACUGGCUCCUUAAAGGGGAUGCGAACACUGCCUACUUGAAAGCGAUAGCCAAUGGUCGCAGGCGGAAAUGUGCCAUCCCUUUCCUCUAGGAUGGGGAUGUUCUUCUGGAAAGCCCAGAGGACAUCUCCACCCAUAUUUACUCCUUCUAUAAGGAGUUGUUUUUGGCUGAGCCGCGUGGAGGCGUCUCCCUCUGUGCCGACUUUUGGCCGCUUGCCGACCAGGUCUCCGAUGCGGAGAAUGCGGAGCUUACUCUCCCUUUCUCUCACGAGGAGGUGGGAUGGGCGAUUACUUCUAUGAAAGCUUGCUCAGCCCCGGGGCCGGAUGGCCUUCCGGUAGUUUUCUUCCAAAAAUUCUGGGAGAUCCUGCGUCCGGUCAUUAUGCCCAUGUUUCAUGAGUUCUAUAUCAGAACUCUUGACAUGGCUAGGAUUAAUUAUGGUGUCAUAUCUCCGAUCCCCAAAGUAGUUGGGGCGACGGAUAUUCGGCAAUUCCGCCCCAUCACGGUGAUCAAUGUGUUGGAGAGAAUCUUUGCGAAGGUUUACGCGACCCGUUUAUCCCCUGUGGCGGAAAGGAUUGCCCACCCCCUUUAG